GAAUAAAAGCUGUAGUUGAACUCAAAGUGCAGAGGGGUCUUUUGCGAAAGAGGAGAGGGCGCGGGGCCGAGCCUUGGCGUUUUGUGCAUGCUAAAAGCUUUGCCUUGUGAUUUUCGCCUCAAGUUUUGUUUCCGAUGAGGAAGGAAGAGGUUAAUCACUCGAAGCUCUGUAACAAGAAACAACAAUUCAGCCGCUCACGGUGAUCAGAGGUAAGCAUCGAGUGCGAACUGAGACAUCAGUAGGCCAGCCUCCUUCAAUAACUUGGAGGACUGCGUGCGAAUUCUUGCUGUAUUCUUGAGUUCCUUUCCUGAAAAUGAACUCUCUAUCUUUAAUCAUGUCCACCGCGUGUGUUCUGUUACGUGAAUGUUGUUUUACUCGGAAGCAAUAUGUACGAUGAACUCGUCUGUUGCAUUGGAAACCCAUAGUACAAGUACAAAUGGAACAUUUUUUUUUUGCUUUUUUGUUUGAUUUAGUUUGGUUAAACGAUCCAUGAGUUUAUUCUUGAUCCUUAUUUGUGUGAAAAAUGGAUGUAUAACAAGUAGUUUAUUGAUUUCAAUCUUAGAAGUAGAGUAGAGUGUGUAGUUCAAAUUACUACAGACUGUAACGAAUAUCUUGAUAUACUGGAUAAGGCUUUACGUCAACUCAUUAGGGAUAACUCUACAAUUCGAGCCAGCAUUAUCGGUGAAUAGCGAUCAAGAUAGUUAGGUAAAAACUAGUCUUCGAGAUUAAAAGACGAGAUGUGGGCUAGUCCACCGAAUGCUCAACCUUAGAGAUGUACAUGCUACCAUGGUCUCUCGUUUCUAUCAUCAUUCAUGUCAUCCUUAUCACUCUCCCCCAAAUCUCAAUAGUCUCUCUUUCGAGCAAACGUUUUUCGCAUUUCCCCAUAGAGUUUCCCCAAACCCCUUACCAAACACAACAGCACCUUCUAAAGUCUAGCACGCAGGAGCUCCCAAAACAUUCGUUUGACUUUCAACAUUGUAGAACCAACCCGGCAAGAAGUUGACCAAGUGGACCCGAUAGCACAAACUCUACUACGGUAUUAUGACCAGUAACGGCCACUCCACCGUAUUGGCCCAAGCACAGCAUAGCCCAUCGCCUUCCAAGCCUAGUUGGGACUAGGCCAUUCCCUUGGGCCCAAACAGGCUAGCCUAGAAAUUACCCCAAUUUUUUUCAAAGAUCUCAAUCGCAUUUAAAAACUGAUUAAUAUAAAAAAAAAAAACCAAAACUGGUACACAUGCUAUAAAUCUAUACCAAACUAAUUUUUUUAUUGUCAAUGACUCCAAACUAGUGCAUUUAUAAUAAAUUUGUGAAAAAUUUACUCUCAAUUUUCAUUAAAUUAGAUUAAUAUCAUAAAAAACUAUCAAACAGGUACAUCUGUGAUAAAUAGAAGGUAAAACCCUAGAUUGGUACACUCAUCAAUUUCCACGUAUCAUCUGACUCAGUAAUUUCACAAUAAAAUUUAAUGAAAACUAACGGGGGUAAAUUUGUCAUGAAUGUAGUAAUUUAAAGUUUUUUAUGUUAAAAAAAAUUAAGUUUUUAUAAAUUUUUCACAAUUGAACUAAUUUUGAUUUUUUUUCAUAACAUUAACACUUUAAGAAAAACAAAAUGAUGUGACAGAAUGUGAUCGUUCGACCACACCAAAAAAAAAAGAACUCCUACAACUGUAAUUCCUCCUUCAUCAUCGCCUCCAUCCAAUUCUCAUUACUUACCACUCUCUUACAAUUCCUAAAAAAAUCUCGAAUUCUACAUACGGCAUUUCAAAUUUCCGAGUACGCGACAGACCCAAUUCAGCUACAUUAACCAACUCAAUUCCCAGACCCAGACCUCCGACUACGAAGAGUAACCUACUCCAACCAAUACUGGGUAGUCUUUGUGUUGGAAGGUCCAAGAUUUGGCGAAUGUUCAGCAUCGAGGUCCUCCCCAGUGGCGGGAAGAAGGCCAUUUACAUGGCGUGGGGUGUGAAAUUACCUGCAAAAUCUAGUGGCUACACAGGCCACAUGAAGAGGUGCUAAGAGAAUUAUCUCCCUGAAAUGGCCAAGCCCAAGGGGAGGUCCACCGCCGUUGCAACAGGCCACGAUAGUAGUCCGUUCAAGUACAACAAUGCUCAGGCUCAAUGCCCAAAUCAACAAUAUAGACUCCAGGCCGAGGUAGCAUUUGGGUACACCCAAGAUCCAGGGUUCGUUGAGUUCGUCAAGUGGCGUUCGGUCAAAUUACAAAUGCAUUACAAGGACCACGAAUACUGGGAAAUACAAGGGUCUACACAAGGAGAAAUGAGCAAAGUCGGUGCAGCUGCUAUCCAUAGAUAACUUUUAAGUGUCAUUGACUUCGAACUUGGGGACUAACCUGAAGGACCGUGGUUAUUUUUGUGUGCUAGAAAGGGUCAUAUUGGUUACUACAUCACCGAACUUUGUUGUUUAAGCAUCCACAUCGCCACAAAUUACAAAAUAUUUGUGUGGAAAUUAUGAGAUCAGUGAAAGACUUUGGCAUUAGGGAGAAAGCAUUUUCCAUUACUUAGGAUAAAGCCUAUGUAACAAUGUGAUUGCUAGGAACAUGGUCGCCCAGAUGUGGCUAGUUUGCAAUGGCCAAUUCUUCCGUGUAUGCUGCAUAGUGCGGUGUUACCAAUCUUUGUGCACAACAUAGUCUUAGGCCCCGUUUGGUUCAGCUUUCCCAAGGGGCUUUGUGCCCCCAAAGCCCCUUGGGGAAAAUUUUUUGCAUUUGGUUUGGCUUUUCAAGUCUCCAUUGAGCAUUUGGAAUGCUGAAAGCCCAAAGCAGGUCUGGACCUGCUUUGGGCUUUCAGCAUUUUCGGAAAUGCUAGUCUAGGGUUUAAUGAAUUUUUUCUUUCCAAUAUUGCCCUUAUUGAUAUUUAUGUUUUCCUUUUUUGCCCUUGAAAAAUAUUGUUUAUCGUCUUCUUCCUUCUUCCUCACAAAGCUUAACCGGUGAGCGGCCAAAUCUGGCCGUCGGGAAGCCUCGCCUGAGGUCGCACGACCUCAGGCGAGGUGGCUUGAGGUCAAGCGACCUUGGGCGUCGCCUAGGUCGCGCAACCCAGGCGGUGUCUCCUGGGUUGCUCGACCUCAAGCAGCGUCGCCUGAGGCCGCGUGACCUCAGGCGACGCCCUGGGUCGCGCCUGAGGUUGAGCGACCCAGGCGACGGUGGCACUCAACACCCCCAAAAAACGACGGCGAGAAAAUCUUUCCAGAAACCCGCGACGAUCAGAAGAAGAUGACGAUGACCGUGAGUUCAAAAGCGCGCUACCUAGAGGCCGGAGAAGGAUCGGAGGGAGAAAUUGACCCAGGCGAUGUCGCCUGAGGUCGCGCGGCCUCAGGCAGAGUCGCCUAAGGCUGCUCGACUCAGGCGGCGUCGCUUGAGGCCGCUCGACUCAGGCAUCGCCUGGGUCGCAUGACCUAGGGUGUCGCCUGAGGUCGGCGACCUGAGGCGAACCGCCUUCCCCCACUGCCACCGCCACCGCCACCACCACCACCACCAGCCGCCUCUCCAUCACCACCAGCCGCCUCCCCACCACCACCAGCCCCACUGCCGAGCAGCUGCAUCUCCUCCUCCCUUUUCUUUUCCUUUCUUUUUUCCCUUUUUCUUUUCACCUCAAAACUACUUUGCAAAAUAUAUACAAAAAUGAGUUCCCAAACACACUUUGCAUUCCCCAAAUGUCCAUUCACUCAAGGAUACUUGGGGAAAUGCAAAGCCAUUUCCCCAAAGUUGAACCAAACGGGCCUUAGACUCUUAAAGAUUUUUGUGAUUCUUCUGUAAGUCGUAUAAGCUGGUGGGUUCACUACCUAGGUUCCACCCCCUUUAAGGGUUCAAGAUAUGGAGACGAUGUGCGCGGAAUGCGGAAGGGAGCCCCAAAAAAGCUCCCUCAGAUGUCAAAAUUAGCUGGAAUUCCACCUAUCUGAUGUUGCAGAAGGCCUGAAUUCAGAUGGAUGUCUUGACCUCGUUUUCUUUCCAUUAUUACAGGUUGAUUGGAGGGUUGCCAAACGAUUCAAGCACCUCCUGGAGGUGUUCAACGACGCCACAGAUGUGCACUAAAAAGACAUCAGGCUCUACCAGAAAGUUUAUUAAAUAAAA
rnacentral:lncRNA from 1 species